UUGAUGACCCCGCGGCCUAUCAGCUAGUUGGUGAGGUAACGGCUCACCAAGGCUAUGACGGGUAGCUGGUCUGAGAGGACGACCAGCCACACUGGAACUGAGACACGGUCCAGACACCUACGGGUGGCAGCAGUCGAGAAUUUUUCUCAAUGGGGGAAACCCUGAAGGAGCGACGCCGCGUGAAGGAUGAAGGUCUUCGGAUUGUAAACUUCUGUCAUUAGGGAACAAGUGUCGGCACGUAACUGCUGCCGGCUUGAUAGUACCUGAAGAGGAAGGGACGGCUAACUCUGUGCCAGCAGCCGCGGUAAUACAGAGGUCCCAAGCGUUGUUCGGAUUCAUUGGGCGUAAAGGGUGCGUAGGUGGUGUCGUAAGUCGGGUGUGAAAUCUCGGGGCUUAACCCCGAAACUGCAUUCGAUACUGCGGUGCUCGAGGACUGGAGAGGAGACUGGAAUUUACGGUGUAGCAGUGAAAUGCGUAGAGAUCGUAAGGAAGACCAGUGGCGAAGGCGGGUCUCUGGACAGUUCCUGACACUGAGGCACGAAGGCCAGGGGAGCAAACGGGAUUAGAUACCCCGGUAGUCCUGGCAGUAAACGGUGCACGUUUGGUGUGGGGGGAUUCGACCCCUUCCGCGCCGGAGCUAACGCGUUAAACGUGCCGCCUGGGGAGUACGGUCGCAAGAUUAAAACUCAAAGGAAUUGACGG
rnacentral:rRNA from 1 species